rnacentral:rRNA from 1 species
GACGAACGCUGGCGGCGUGCUUAACACAUGCAAGUCGAACGGAAAGGCCCUGCUUUUGUGGGGUGCUCGAGUGGCGAACGGGUGAGUAACACGUGAGUAACCUGCCCUUGACUUUGGGAUAACUUCAGGAAACUGGGGCUAAUACCGGAUAGGAGCUCCUGCUGCAUGGUGGGGGUUGGAAAGUUUCGGCGGUUGGGGAUGGACUCGCGGCUUAUCAGCUUGUUGGUGGGGUAGUGGCUUACCAAGGCUUUGACGGGUAGCCGGCCUGGGAGGGUGACCGGCCCCAUUGGGCCUGGGGUACGGCCCAGACUCCUACGGGCGGCAGCAGUGGGGAAUAUUGCACACUGGGCGGAAGCCGGAUGCAGCAACGCCGCGUGCGGGAUGACGGCUUUCGGGUUGUAAACCGCUUUCGCCUGUGACGAAGCGUGAGUGACGGUACUGGGUAAAGAAGCACCGGCUAACUACGU